GACGAACGCUGGCGGCGUGCUUAACACAUGCAAGUCGAACGGAAAGGCCCUGCUUUUGUGGGGUGCUCGAGUGGCGAACGGGUGAGUAACACGUGAGUAACCUGCCCUUGACUUUGGGAUAACUUCAGGAAACUGGGGCUAAUACCGGAUAGGAGCUCCUGCUGCAUGGUGGGGGUUGGAAAGUUUCGGCGGUUGGGGAUGGACUCGCGGCUUAUCAGCUUGUUGGUGGGGUAGUGGCUUACCAAGGCUUUGACGGGUAGCCGGCCUGAGAGGGUGACCGGCCACAUUGGGACUGAGAUACGGCCCAGACUCCUACGGGAGGCAGCAGUGGGGAAUAUUGCACAAUGGGCGGAAGCCUUAUGCAGCAACGCCGCGUGCGGGAUGACGGCCUUCGGGUUGUAAACCGCUUUCGCCUGUGACGAAGCGUGAGUGACGGUAAUGGGUAAAGAAGCACCGGCUAACUACG
rnacentral:rRNA from 1 species